rnacentral:rRNA from 1 species
UGCGGAGGGGGCUAGCGUUGUUCGGAAUUACUGGGCGUAAAGCGCGCGUAGGCGGCUUUGUAAGUCAGAGGUGAAAGCCUGGAGCUCAACUCCAGAACUGCCUUUGAGACUGCAUCGCUAGAAUCAUGGAGAGGUAAGUGGAAUUCCGAGUGUAGAGGUGAAAUUCGUAGAGAUCCGGAGGAACCCCAGAGGCGAAGGCGGCGUCCUGGCUCGCAUCUGACGCUCAGACACGACAGCAUGGGGAGCGAACGGG